GAUGAACGCUAGCGGCAGGCUUAACACAUGCAAGUCGAGGGGUAGAGGAAGCUUGCUUCCUUGAGACCGGCGCACGGGUGCGUAACGCGUAUGCAACCUACCUUUUACAGAGGGAUAGCCCAGAGAAAUUUGGACUAAUACCUCAUAGUAUAUAUUCUUCGCAUGUUGACUAUAUUCAAGUUCUAACGGUAAAAGAUGGGCAUGCGUCCUAUUAGCUAGAUGGUAAGGUAACGGCUUACCAUGGCAACGAUAGGUAGGGGUCCUGAGAGGGAGAUCCCCCACACUGGUACUGAGACACGGACCAGACUGCUACGGGAGGCAGCAGUGAGGAAUAUUGGACAAUGGGCGCAAGCCUGAUCCAGCCAUGCCGCGUGCAGGAAGAAGCAUCUAUGGUGUGUAAACUGCUUUUGUACGGGAAAAAACACUCCCUCGUGAGGGAGCUUGACGGUACCGUAAGAAUAAGGAUCGGCUAACUCCGUGCCAGCCGCCGCGGUAAGAC
rnacentral:rRNA from 1 species